UUCUAGUGAGAAAUAAACUACCCGUACCGCAAACCGACACAGGUAGUCGAGGAGAGUAUCCUCAGGUGAGCGAGCGAACUCUCGUUAAGGAACUCGGCAAAAUGACCCCGUAACUUCGGAAGAAGGGGUGCUGGCCGUCAGGUCAGCCGCAGUGAAUAGGCCCAAACAACUGUUUAUCAAAAACACAGGUCUCUGCUAAAUCGUAAGAUGAUGUAUAGGGGCUGACGCCUGCCCGGUGCUGGAAGGUUAAGAGGAUGAGUUAGCGCAAGCGAAGCCCAGAAUUGAAGCCCCAGUAAACGGCGGCCGUAACUAUAACGGUCCUAAGGUAGCGAAAUUCCUUGUCGGGUAAGUUCCGACCCGCACGAAAGGCGUAAUGAUUUGGGCACUGUCUCAACGAGAGACUCGGUGAAAUUAUAGUACCCGUGAAGAUGCGGGUUACCCGCGACAGGACGGAAAGACCCCAUGGAGCUUUACUGUAGCUUGAUAUUGAGUGUUGGUACCGCUUGUACAGGAUAGGUAGGAGCCGUAGAGAUCGGAACGCUAGUUUCGAUGGACGUUGGUGGGAGUACUACCCUAGCUGUAUGAACACUCUAACCCGCGCCACUGAACGUGGCGGGAGACAGUGUCA
rnacentral:rRNA from 1 species